rnacentral:rRNA from 1 species
CAAGCACUCUACGGAGGCAGCAGUGGGGAAUUUUGGACAAUGGGCGCAAGCCUGAUCCAGCCAUGCCGCGUGUCUGUAUAAGGCUUCGGGUUGUAAAGACUUGUGUCCGGGAGCAAAUGCCUUGGUGUUAAUAGCAUCGGAUCUA